rnacentral:rRNA from 1 species
GUAGGGUGCAAGCGUUAUCCGGAAUCAUUGGGCGUAAAGAGCUCGUAGGCGGUUCAGCAAGUCGGCUGUGAAAUCCCGAGGCUUAACCUCGGAACUGCAGUCGAUACUGCUGUGACUAGAGUCCGGUAGAGGAGAAUGGAAUUCCCGGUGUAGCGGUGAAAUGCGCAGAUAUCGGGAGGAACACCAGUAGCGAAGGCGGUUCUCUGGGCCGGUACUGACGCUGAGGAGCGAAAGCGUGGGGUAGCAAACAGGAUUAGAUACCCUGGUAGUCCACGCCGUAAACGUUGGACACUAGGUGUGGCGUUCCGACCAACGGGUGCCGUGCCGAAGCUAACGCAUUAAGUGUCCCCGCCUGGAGAGUACGGCCGCAAGGCUA